rnacentral:rRNA from 1 species
UACGUAGGGUGCAAGCGUUGUCCGGAAUUAUUGGGCGUAAAGAGCUCGUAGGCGGUCUGUCGCGUCGGCUGUGAAAUCCCGGAGCUCAACUCCGGAUCUGCGGUGGGUACGGGCAGACUAGAGUGAUGUAGGGGAGACUGGAAUUCCUGGUGUAGCGGUGAAAUGCGCAGAUAUCAGGAGGAACACCGAUGGCGAAGGCAGGUCUCUGGGGCAUUAACUGACGCUGAGGAGCGAAAGCAUGGGGAGCGAACAGG